rnacentral:rRNA from 1 species
UGCGUAGGCGGUUGAUUAAGUUGGAUGUGAAAUACCCGGGCUUAACUUGGGGGUGCAUUCAAAACUGGUUAACUAGAGUACAGGAGAGGGAAGCGGAAUUCCUAGUGUAGCGGUGAAAUGCGUAGAUAUUAGGAGGAACACCAGUAGCGAAGGCGGCUUUCUGGACUGUAACUGACACUGAGGCACGAAAGCGUGAGGAGCAAACA